rnacentral:lncRNA from 1 species
AAAUUAAUUACUUAAUUAAUUGGGUUAAUUUUAUACAGUGUGAAUUGCAAAUAUAUUCCUAUAAAGUUCAACUCUCAUAUAUUGUAUCUGUAAAAGUCUUGAUAUUUUCAAAUAUGUUCCGACACCGCCGUUAGGAUCAGUUAGAAAAAAUUAGCUGAUUAUAUAACUAAUAGGUAAAAUAUUUAACCUUAGUUAAUUAAUAAGAUGAAUUGACCUUUUUAUCCUUCUUUAAUAAAUAAUUUAGACUUUUAGGUAGACGUAUUUGUGAUGACAAAAAGGUCGACAUUUUACUUAUAAAAUAAACAGUAUUUUAACAGUAACAAAUCAGAAGAAUAUAUUUAAAAAUGUUAAGAUUUUUACAGGGACAAUAUAUGAAAGUUGAAUAUUUGUAGGGACCUAUAUAAAAUUAACCCUAAUUAAUUAAUUAAUUACAAGUUAAUAA